GGGGUCGACUGGUUUUGACAGCAGGCCGAAAUGAACAGUAAGCACGUCGAGAACAGGAGUUGGUUCUCGUUAAUUCAUCAGCUCCGAACUUUUAAACGGCGAAAAUAAUUACGCUCUUGCUGCUUAAUAAUCUGAACUAUAGUAAGAUUUAGCCACGUCCUGCAAGGCAGGAAAGUGAGAUUCUCCUAAAAAGCCCUGGUUUAUGGCGUUUUGUAAUGGGGAACCGUAAAAAUAGACCUGGGGAGUUUUUUGCUUCGCGAAAUUCCCAAGACUUUAGAAGCUAAGUGUUGUGUGGCAGUUUCUGGCCUUGCACAACAUCGAAAAAUUAAGCAGAAACUAAACGUGUAGAAAGCUCUUUGCUUCCCUGUUUGGACCCGGGUUCGAUUCCCGGCGAUUCCACGA
rnacentral:tmRNA from 1 species